rnacentral:rRNA from 1 species
UACGAAGGGGGCUAGCGUUGCUCGGAAUCACUGGGCGUAAAGGGUGCGUAGGCGGGUCUUUUAAGUCAGGGGUGAAAUCCUGGAGCUCAACUCCAGAACUGCCUUUGAUACUGAAGAUCUUGAGUUCGGGAGAGGUGAGUGGAACUGCGAGUGUAGAGGUGAAAUUCGUAGAUAUUCGGAGGAACACCAGUAGCGAAGGCGGCUCACUGGUCCGGUACUGACGCUGAGGUGCGAAAGCGUGGGGAGCAAACAGG